GAGCUGAUGGAGACCUAUAUAGCCAAGAUCUGUGAAAUUCACAAUGAAGGAAGCAAUAUGGUCCAAGUAGAGUUAUAUGCCAAAUCUUUUAACACGCAGUGUCAAUAGGAAGAAAAACAAUGAAAAUAGUUGUAGUCAUGUAAAUUUGAAACAGAUGUAUCAUUUUGCUCCAGUGACCUGAGUAGAAUACUAAGAAGGCUGCCUCUCAAUAUGAUGCUCUGAUAAAAACGUUCUCAAGGGGAGGUGCUCCAGCCCUCUGAAUUUAAUCUGAAGAACAGAACUGCCCCUCAAGCCUCUCAGGGGAGACUGACAAGUACACCUGACAAUGAGCAAUGCUGGAGAAAAGUGAAAAUCCAUUAGAAAGAAGCGAUAGGAAGGAAAAUUUUGCUUAAUGGGCAGAGGAUGCACAAGUCAUUUCCAUGAUACCAUGUAUGACAAUUGCCUGCAUGUCUGGAACCUUUUAUAGAAGCAAAAACUGAAGUGGCUUGUUCUGUGAAUACUAACAGGAAUCCUAAGAAUCACAGAAUGGCAGAGGUUGGAAGGGACCUCAAGUGAUCAUUGAGUCUAACCCCCCUGCUAAAGCAGAUACCGCAAUAUGUCACAGAGCCCUCUUGAGGAGGAGUGAGAGUGCAGUUUGGUGGACAUCAGGCAAUCAGCCAAGAUAAAGUACUUCAAUAGUUACUGGAACGUGGAACAAGAAAGCGAGAAUGAGUCAAAUCUGAUGCUCUUUGGAAAGAUGAGGUCAAGGGAGGUGAUUCUGUUCCUCUACUCUGCUCUCGUGAGACCCCUCCUGGAGUACUGUGUCCAGUUCCAGGGCUCCCAACACAAGAAGGAUAUGGAGAGGUUGGAGCAGGUCCAGAGGAGGGCCAAGAAGAUGAUCAGAGGUAUGGAGCACCUACCCUAUCAGAACAGGCUGAGACACCUGGAGCUCUUCAGCCUAGAGAAGAGAAGGCUCUGGGGAGACCUUAUAGCAGCCUUCCAGUACCUGAAGGGGCCUACAGGAAAGCUGGGGAGGAACUUUUUAUAAGGGUAUGUACUGAUCGAAUGAGGGGAAAUGGUUUUAAACUGUAAGAGAGUAGAUUUAGAGUAGAUAUUAGGAAGAAAUUCUUCACUGUGAGGGUGGUGAGUCACUGGAACAGGUUGCCCAGUGAGGUUGUGAAUGCCCCCUCUCUGGAAGCAUUCAAGGCCAGGCUGGAUAGGAAUUUGAGCAACCUAGUCUAGAGUCUAUUUGAGCAACCCAGUCUGUCCCUGCCUAUGGCAGAAGGGUUGGCACUAAAGGUCCCUUCCAACCCAAAUCAUUGGUUCUAUGAUUCUAUGAUUCUGUGACUGUUAUUAGGAAAUGACUAUAUAAGCUGAGUCUUUUUAAUUUGGACAUAUGCUCUGCAGUGCCAUCUACAGUAUUUUGGUCAAGACUGAGCAACUUAACUGGAAAUCUUGCAUUUUGCUCUAUAAAGGAAGGAUAAAGCAGAAAGUGAGCAUAUAUCAAUAUUGAACAAACUUUACAAGGCCGAAUAAUAAAUUAGCUGGAGAUCUAUGGACGCUCUAUUGACAACUGAGCUUUGAAAUCACUUUGAAAAUAAUUUUUAAAAUUGUUUAGCCAGUAAUGAUUAGAACAUAACCAUUAUAUAUUCACUUACCUGCUUACUAUUUUGGAAAAGUUUCACAAG
ensembl:lncRNA